rfam:Picea glauca, whole genome shotgun sequence.
UGACCCCAGCUCAGGUGAGAAUACCUACUAAUUUUAAGCAUAUAAUUAAGCGGAGGAAAAGAAACUUACAAGGAUUCCCCUAGUAACGACAAGCGAACCGGGAAGAGCCCAGCAUGAAAAUCGGGUGGCAGUGUCACCUGAAUUGUAGUUUGUAGAAGCGUCCUUAGCGAUGGACCGGGCCCAAGUCCCCUAGAAGGGGGUGCCUAAGAGGGUGAAAGCCCCGUCAGGUCGAGACCCUGCCGCACCAUGAGGCGUUGUCGACGAGUCGGGUUGUUUGGGAAUGCAGCCCUAAUCGGGUGGUAAAUUCCAUCCAAGGCUAAAUACGGGUGAGAGACCGAUAGAGAACAAGUACCGCGAGGGAAAGAUGAAAAGGAAUUUGAAAAGAGAGUUAAAGAGUGCUUGAAAUUACCGAGAGGGAAGCGGAUGGAGGUCGGUGAUGCAUCUCAUUCGGAUGCGGAAUGACUCAAGCUGGUCCACCGCUCGACUCAAGGUGCGAACCAGCACAUGCCGUUGCAUUGGCACAAGCGCGGGUGGAGUACUGCCUAUUGGUUUUCCAUUGUGGUUGUCGAGGAACGAAGAGUGCGCCCUUGGGGCGGGCCACUGUGCACCUGCACGCUCAUGGUGUUGGAUGGCGGGCUUUCCAUUCGACCCGUCUUGAAACAUGGACCAAGGAGUCUAACAUGUGUGCGAGUCGGUGGGUUUGUAAAACUGUGAGGCGUAAGGAAGCUGACAGGCGAGAACCCCUCUUCAUGGGGUGCAUUGCCGACCGACCUUGAGCUUGUGCGAAGCGUUCGAGUGCGAGCACACUUGUUGGGACCCGAAAGAUGGUGAACUAUGCCUGAGCAGGGCGAAGCCAAAGGAAACUCUGGUGGAGGCCCGUAGUGAUACUGACAUGCAAAUCGUUCAUCUGACUUGGGUAUAGGGGCGAAAGACUAAUUGAACCAUCUAGUAGCUGGUUUCCUCCAAAGUUUCCCUCAGGAUAGCUGGAGCUCACGUGCGAGUUUUAUCAAGUAAAGAAAAUGAUUAGAGGCAUCGGGGGCGUAACGCCCUUGACCUAUUCUCAAAAUUUAAAUAGGUAAGAUGGUGCGGCUGCUCCAUUGAGCCGUGCCACGGAAUCGAGAGCUCCAAGUGGGCCAUUUUUGGUAAACAGAACUGGCAAUGAGGGAUGAAUCGAAAGUCGAGUUACGGUGCCAAAUUGCACGCUAAAUCAAAUCCCACAAAGGGUGUUGGUUGAUUAAGACAGCAGGACGGUGGUCAUGGAAGUCGAAAUCUGCUAAGGAGUGUGUAACAACUCACCUACCGAAUCAACUAGCCCCGAAAAUGGAUGGCGCUGAAGCACACGACCUAUACUUGACCGUCGGAGCAAUUUCCAGGCUUCGAUGAGUAGGAGGACACGGGGGUCAUUGAGAAACCUUGGAUGUGAGCCUGG